rnacentral:rRNA from 1 species
GAUGAACGCUGGCGGCGUGCCUAAUACAUGCAAGUCGAGCGAACAGACGAGGAGCUUGCUCCUCUGAUGUUAGCGGCGGACGGGUGAGUAACACGUGGAUAACCUACCUAUAAGACUGGGAUAACUUCGGGAAACCGGAGCUAAUACCGGAUAACAUGUUGAACCGCAUGGUUCAACAGUGAAAGACGGUCUUGCUGUCACUUAUAGAUGGAUCCGCGCCGCAUUAGCUAGUUGGUAAGGUAACGGCUUACCAAGGCAACGAUGCGUAGCCGACCUGAGAGGGUGAUCGGCCACACUGGAACUGAGACACGGUCCAGACUCCUACGGGAGGCAGCAGUAGGGAAUCUUCCGCAAUGUGCGAAAGCCUGACGGAGCAACGCCGCGUGAGUGAAGAAGGUCUUCGGAUCGUAAAACUCUGUUAUUAGGGAAGAACAAAUGUGUAAGUAACUAUGCACGUCUUGACGGUACCUAAUCAGAAAGCCACGGCUAACUACGUG